rnacentral:misc_RNA from 1 species
AAAGGAGUUAGUGAGGAAGAGGAGGAAGGCGGUGGAGGAACUCGGCUUGGCGCUAACUAGGCACCGGGAGCUGGAGAAGGAGCUUGAGGAAGCAUGUGAGGCGGAGGAUUUCGAGAAGGCAGAGAUGGUUAGUGAGAGCCUGGCUGCUGCUGAGAAGGAGAAGGAUGGGCUUGUGAGUGCGUUAAGGGAUGCGGAGGUGGCGUGUGAUGCUGUGGAUUCG